rnacentral:rRNA from 1 species
AACUAUAACGGUCCUAAGGUAGCGAAAUUCCUUGUCAGGUAAGUUCUGACCCGCAUGAAAGGCGUAAUGAUUUGGGCACUGUCUCAACAGCCCGCCCGGCGAAAUUGUAGUACCGGUGAAGAUGCCGGUUACCCGCGACAAGACGGAAAGACCCCAUGGAGCUUUACUGCAGCCUGAUAUUGGGUUUCGAUGUUGUAUGCACAGGAUAGAUGGGACACAGGGAAGCAAGUGCUUUGGCAUUUGUGGAGUGGACGUUGGGAUACCAUCCUUAUGAUAUUGGAAUUCUAACCAGCAGCCCUGAAGCGGGCUGGGGGACAUUGUCAGGUGGGCAGUUUGACUGGGGCGGUCGCCUCCAAAAGAGUAACGGAGGCGUUCAAAGGUUCGCUCGGCUUGAACGGAAAUCAAGCGAGAGAGUGCAAACGCAGAAGCGAGCCUGACUGCGAGACUGACGGGUCGAGCAGGAACGAAAGUUGGAGUUAGUGAUCCGGUGGUAUGUGAGUGGAAAUGCCAUCGCUCAACGGAUAAAAGUUACCCUGGGGAUAACAGGCUGAUCUCCCCCAAGAGUCCACAUCGACGGGGAGGUUUGGCACCUCGAUGUCGGCUCAUCGCAUCCUGGGGCUGUAUUCGGUCCCAAGGGUUUGGCUGUUCGCCAAUUAAAGCGGUACGCGAGCUGGGUUCAGAACGUCGUGAGACAGUUCGGUCCCUAUCUGUCGUGGGCGCAGGAUAUUUGAUGGGAGCUGUCCCUAGUACGAGAGGACCGGGACGGACGAACCUCUGGCGCACCAGUUGUUCCGCCAGGAGCACAGCUGGGCAACUAUGUUCGGAUCGGAUAAACGCUGAAAGCAUCUAAGCGUGAAGCCGGCCCAAAGAUAAGAUAUCCCACUAAGUAAUUAGGUAAGAUCCCUUGAAGACUACAAGGUAGAUAGGCACGAUGUGUAAGUGGAGCGAUCCAUUCAGCAGGCGUGUACUAAUCGAUCGAGGGCUUGACCAG